rnacentral:rRNA from 1 species
UUCCGGUUGAUCCUGCCGGUGGUCACUGCUAUCGGGUUUCGAUUAAGCCAUGUGAGUUUAUCGUCGUAAGACGAGGCAUACUGCUCAGUAACACGUGGAUAACCUACUCUCAGGUCCAUGAUACCCUCGGGAAACUGAGGCUAAUAAUGGAUAGAGGAUUGAAUUUGGAAUAAUCUUUCCUUCAAAGUUCCGGCGCCUGAGAAUGGAUCUGCGGCCUAUCAGGUAGUAGGUGAGGUAACGGCUCACCUAGCCUACGACGGGUACGGGCCCUGGAAGGGGUAGCCCGGAGAUGGACUCUGAGACACGAGUCCAGGUCCUAUGGGGCGCAGCAGGCGCGAAAACUUCGCAAUGCGCGAAAGCGCGACGAGGGAACCCCGAGUGCCUUCCUUUGGUUGGCUUUUCUCAAUCCUAAAAAGCUUGAGGAAUAAGGGCUGGGAAAGACGGGUGCCAGCCGCCGCGGUAAUACCUGCAGCUCUAGUGGUGACCUUUAUUAUUGAGUUUAAAGCGUUCGUAGCCGGUUUCAUAAAUCCCCGAGUAAAUUGAGUCGCUUAACGAUUCAAAUUUCAGGGAGACUGUGGAACUUGGGACCGGGUGAAGCUAGAGGUACUCCAGGGGUAGGAGUGAAAUCCUGUAAUCCUUGGGGGACCACCAGUGGCGAAGGCGUCUAGCUAGAACGGCUCCGACGGUGAGGAACGAAGGCCAAGGUAGCAAACCGGAUUAGAUACCCGGGUAGUCUUGGCUGUAAACGCUGCCCGCUUAGUGUUGCUCGUCUCACGUAGGCGAGCAGUGCUGUAGCGACAGUGUUAAGCGGG